rnacentral:rRNA from 1 species
UACGUAGGCAGCGAGCGUUGUUCGGAGUUACUGGGCGUAAAGAGUGCGUAGGCGGUUUUCUAAGUUUGGUGUGAAAUCUCCCGGCUCAACUGGGAGGGUGCGCCGAAGACUGGAAGGCUAGAGUGUGGGAGAGGUAACCGGAAUUCCUGGUGUAGCGGUGAAAUGCGUAGAUAUCAGGAGGAACACCUGCGGUGUAGACGGCUUACUGGACCAUGACUGACGCUGAGGCACGAAAGCGUGGGUAGCAAACAGG